CCGAUAGCUCAAUUGGAUAGAGCAACGGCCUUCUAAGCCGUAGGUUGCAGGUUCGAUUCCUGCUCGGCC
rnacentral:tRNA from 1 species